GGCUAACUCCGUGCCAGCAGCCGCGGUAAUACGGAGGGUGCAAGCGUUAAUCGGAAUUACUGGGCGUAAAGCGCACGCAGGCGGUCUGUCAAGUCGGAUGUGAAAUCCCCGGGCUCAACCUGGGAACUGCAUUCGAAACUGGCAGGCUAGAGUCUUGUAGAGGGGGGUAGAAUUCCAGGUGUAGCGGUGAAAUGCGUAGAGAUCUG
rnacentral:rRNA from 1 species